ACAGGCGGCUGUAGCAAUGGGGG
rnacentral:miRNA from 1 species